UACGGAGGGGGCUAGCGUUAUUCGGAAUUAUUGGGCGUAAAGGGCGCGUAGGCGGCCCGGUAAGUCAAAGGUGAAAUCCCUCGGCUCAACUGAGGAACUGCCUUUGAAACUGUCGGGCUUGAGGCCGGGAGGGGGUAGCGGAAUUCCCAGUGUAGCGGUGGAAUGCGCAGAUAUCAGGAGGAACACCGAUGGCGAAGGCAGAUCUCUGGGCCGUAACUGACGCUGAGGAGCGAAAGCAUGGGGAGCGAACAGG
rnacentral:rRNA from 1 species